GACGUAGGGCGCGAGCGUUGUCCGGAUUUAUUGGGCGUAAAGAGCUCGUAGGCGGCUUGUUGCGUCGUCCGUGAAAUCCCAUGGCUCAACUGUGGGCUUGCGGUCGAUACGGGCAGGCUUGAGUUCGGUAGGGGAGACUGGAAUUCCUGGUGUAGCGGUGAAAUGCGCAGAUAUCAGGAGGAACACCGGUGGCGAAGGCGGUUCUCUGGGCAUUACCUGACGCUGAGGAGCGAAAGUGUGGGGAGCGAACAGG
rnacentral:rRNA from 1 species